rnacentral:miRNA from 1 species
UCUACAGCCAUACCACCCUGAAUGUGCCCGAUCUCAUCUCGGAAGCUAAGCAUGGUCGGGCCUGGUUAGUGCUUGGAUGGG